GGGUGGAGGGAAGGAGGAUACCUGGGGCCUGACCUGUGCACAGCAAGACCUUGCUACCCCACCAGACCAGAGAACACAGGCCACAUGUGAAGGAAGAGGCUGAUCUUUAGGCUUUCCAAAAACUGCUGGGACUUGGUGGAAAAUUGGAGUGUCUGGCUUCCAAGCAGGCAUAACGGCUCUCUGCAAGACCAGGUAUGUACAAACAUCCCUUGAGCAGCUCUGCAAGCCUGAUGCUUCACCAACGGGCGCCGGGGCUUCAUAACUGCUGAAAAUCUUGGUGUUGAUUAUCAGCACAGUGAUGGUGCCAGGUGCUGUGGAAUCAGCUUGGAUUUUGAUUUUGCUUCCUUUAUGUGAAGCCAGGAGGGAGCUUAGCGCCCAGUACUCCGUGCCCCACCCCCACCACAUUGCAGCCUCCCGCAGUCGCCAGGACAAGCGGGGGCUUUCAGUGGCAGCCAGAAGGAAUUCAGAAACAUCACAUUUCAUUUCGGGAAGAAUUGGAUCAGCACCAGUUUGGUGCUGAGGCCAUGAGAUUGUGGCAUUUUUAUCCCAAAUUAUCCUCUCUUGGCCUCUCUCAGUGUGUAUGUAUGUCUGUAGGAGUCCUUGUGUAGAAUUAUGCUCUGCAGAAAGCAUCCCACAUUUAUUCAAUUGCAUCGUCCCACAUUCUGGCUCGGGAGACACAGACUCGAGUCAACCUGAAGCUGCCUAAUUUUGCAGGGAAGCAGCUAUCCUGAUGUUUGCAGGUUGGAGGCCUCCAAGUGACACACAUCAGGAAGAAAUGGGCUCUCCAAUCCCGGAUGAGCUGAAACACAAACGCUUUUCUGAGGGAACAGUUGGGGUCUUAUCUUUCCGAGCCCUUGUCCGUGCAAGCAGCCAUUGAUGAAGAAGAGUUUAUGCUUGAUACCUAUUGCAGGUGUUCUUCGCUGUGGAGAUCUUGUCAAUGAAAGAUUCAAAAGUGGUUCAAUGAUCAGAAGACCCUAUGUGUUUGCUUUUGACCAGCUUUUGUUUGCUCUGUCACUCAGGGAGAAUAUAAACAACUUUGGCUAGGUAAGAUGGAAAAACAUUAGCCAGUACGGAAAUGUUCUACAGACAAGUGAGGGGACUUGGCAGAAGUCUGGCUUAGAAGAUGAAUGAAUAAAACCCCGGGCAGAAUGCAAUAGCGGCAAUAGGCACGCAUUCUUUGCAAAUGUGCACCGAAGGCUACAGGCUACUGUGUCUUUUUCUUCUGGCUUCUCUCUUGAGCUUCUGACACUGCACAGAAAGUGGGUCGGUCCUCUGAGAGGCUUGAAAAAUGCAAAAGUUUACCACCAACUGGUGGGAAUACGUGCAACACAUGCGUAAGGCAAAGAGCAUCAGUGG